ACGGUGCCUUAUGCAAAGAGCCAUAAGGGUAAAAGGGAAACAGUUGAAAAUACUGUACGAUCUCGUCACUGUGAAAGCGGAGCAGACAGCAGUGUUAUCUGUCGGAGUACAGAUACGGUCACUGGAUAACAUCCGGGAAGGCAGCUGUAUGUGAAGAUGCUCAAGUCAGGAAACCUGCCGUUUUG
rnacentral:ncRNA from 1 species